rnacentral:rRNA from 1 species
GACAGAGGCCUCAAGCGUUAGGCGGAAUCACUGGGCUUAAAAGCGUGUGGUAGGCGGGUCGUUAAGUACCUUGUGAAAUCCCAGCGGCUCACCCGUGGAACUGCUGGGUAUACUGGCGAUCUUGGGCCAUUUAGGGGCAACUGGAACGAAGCCGGUGGGAGCGGAUGAAAUGCGUAGAUAUCGCUGGAACGCCAAAGGUGAAAACAGGUUGCUGGGGAAUGAUGGCCGACGCUGGAGACACGAAGCCAGGGGAGCAAACAGGA